rnacentral:rRNA from 1 species
AGCGUAGGCGGCGGAGCAAGUCAGAAGUGAAAGCCCGGGGCUCAACCCCGGGACGGCUUUUGAAACUGCCCUGCUUGAUUUCAGGAGAGGUAAGCGGAAUUCCUAGUGUAGCGGUGAAAUGCGUAGAUAUUAGGAGGAACACCAGUUGCGAAGGCGGCUCUCUGGACUGUAACUGACACUGAGGCACGAAAGCGUGGGGAAGCAAACA